AUUCUCAAUAAAUAUUUGGCAGCACAUAUGCUAAAGGAAUGAUACAGAGAAGGUUAGCAUGGCCCCUGAGUAAGGAUGACAUGCAAAUUCGUGAACUGUUCCAUAUUUUU
rnacentral:snRNA from 1 species